UGCAAAUGUCCCAGUGGAAGGUCGUGAUUGGUCUGGAAAGGUUAUCUCCAUUUGUCUAGACGGCCGUCUUCACAAAAGAAGAAAGUUCAGGUGUUUCUCUUUGAAAGUCACGCUGCGAAACGCAGUGUGUAUCGGAAGCCGAGCUGCAUUUCCUUCUUCUGGGCCUCGUGAAGUCUGGGCUCUGGACCGUAAAUGCCUGGUCCUCAGCGACACUUCCGUCACAUUCUGCUGGUGAUGGCGGGGAGGCCCCGGGCGAGGGGGACAGUCCGUGAUGCCUACAGCAUGCUGUGUUACUGUCUUGCACCGGAG
rnacentral:lncRNA from 1 species